rnacentral:lncRNA from 1 species
AUUUUAUCUCCAUGAACCCUCCCUACCCCCAGGAAAUUAUGAAAAAUAAAUUCCACCAAAAUUAGAGACUAAACUAUAAGAAGAAGAGAACACGGAACCCAGGAAACAAGAGAGAAGCAAAAGGAAGUCCCAGUACAACAUUUGUGCACUGGGCAGAGAAAGCAAUGCAUUUAGACUGGACUUGCUCCAGGAGAAAUGUCUCCAAGAAAGAAGAAAAAGAAAAAUUGAGCUGCUAAAUUAUCUGACAGUUUUGUCAUGUGAAGGACAUUUAUAAAGCUGCUGGAAGACAGACUCUUUGGCCAGCCAUUCAAAGAAAACAAUUUCCAGUUUUUAAAGAACGAGGCAAUUAUAAACUCUAAGAAAAAUGAGGCCAGGUGUGGUGGCUCAUGCCUGUAAUCCCAACACUUUGGGAGGCCGAGGCAGGCAGAUCAUCUGAGGUCAGG